rnacentral:rRNA from 1 species
AUUGAACGCUGGCGGCAGGCCUAACACAUGCCAGUCGAGCGGAUGAAGGGAGCUUGCUCCUGGAUUCAGCGGCGGACGGGUGAGUAAUGCCUAGGAAUCUGCCUGGUAGUGGGGGAUAACGUCCGGAGACGGGCGCUAAUACCGCAUACGUCCUGAGGGAGAAAGUGGGGGAUCUUCGGACCUCACGCUAUCAGAUGAGCCUAGGUCGGAUUAGCUAGUUGGUGGGGUAAAGGCCUACCAAGGCGACGAUCCGUAACUGGUCUGAGAGGAUGAUCAGUCACACUGGAACUGAGACACGGUCCAGACUCCUACGGGAGGCAGCAGUGGGGAAUAUUGGACAAUGGGCGAAAGCCUGAUCCAGCCAUGCCGCGUGUGUGAAGAAGGUCUUCGGAUUGUAAAGCACUUUAAGUUGGGAGGAAGGGCAGUAAGUUAAUACCUUGCUGUUUUGACGUUACCAACAGAAUAAGCACCGGCUAACUUCGUG